rnacentral:rRNA from 1 species
GACGGACGCUGGCGGCGUGCUUAACACAUGCAAGUCGAACGGAAAGGCCCUGCUUUUGUGGGGUGCUCGAGUGGCGAACGGGUGAGUAACACGUGAGUAACCUGCCCUUGACUUUGGGAUAACUUCAGGAAAUUGGGGCUAAUACCGGAUAGGAGCUCCUGCUGCAUGGUGGGGGUUGGAAAGUUUCGGCGGUUGGGGAUGGACUCGCGGCUUAUCAGCUUGUUGGUGGGGUAGUGGCUUACCAAGGCUUUGACGGGUAGCCGGCCUGAGAGGGUGACCGGCCACAUUGGGACUGAGAUACGGCCCAGACUCCUACGGGAGGCAGCAGUGGGGAAUAUUGCACAAUGGGCGGAAGCCUGAUGCAGCAACGCCGCGUGCGGGAUGACGGCCUUCGGGUUGUAAACCGCUUUCGCCUGUGACGAAGCGUGAGUGACGGUAAUGGGUAAAGAAGCACCGGCUAACUACGUG